UACGAAGGGGGCUAGCGUUGUUCGGAAUCACUGGGCGUAAAGCGCACGUAGGCGGGCUUUUAAGUCAGGUGUGAAAUCCCAUGGCUCAACCAUGGAAUUGCAUUUGAAACUGGAAGUCUUGAGUGUGGGAGAGAUUGGUAGAAUACCUGGUGUAGUGGUGAAAUACGUAGAUAUCAGGUGGAAUACCGGUGGCGAAGGCGGCCAAUUGGCCCAACACUGACGCUGAGAUACGAAAGCGUGGGGAUCAAACAGG
rnacentral:rRNA from 1 species